AGAGUUUGAUCCUGGCUCAGGAUGAACGCUGGCGGCGUGCCUAAUACAUGCAAGUCGAGCGAACGGACGAGAAGCUUGCUUCUCUGAUGUUAGCGGCGGACGGGUGAGUAACACGUGGAUAACCUACCUAUAAGACUGGGAUAACUUCGGGAAACCGGAGCUAAUACCGGAUAAUAUUUUGAACCGCAUGGUUCAAAAGUGAAAGACGGUCUUNCUGUCACUUAUAGAUGGAUCCGCGCUGCAUUAGCUAGUUGGUAAGGUAACGGCUUACCAAGGCAACGAUGCAUAGCCGACCUGAGAGGGUGAUCGGCCACACUGGAACUGAGACACGGUCCAGACUCCUACGGGAGGCAGCAGUAGGGAAUCUUCCGCAAUGGGCGAAAGCCUGACGGAGCAACGCCGCGUGAGUGAUGAAGGUCUUCGGAUCGUAAAACUCUGUUAUUAGGGAAGAACAUAUGUGUAAGUAACUGUGCACAUCUUGACGGUACCUAAUCAGAAAGCCACGGCUAACUACGUGCCAGCAGCCGCGGUAAUACGUAGGUGGCAAGCGUUAUCCGGAAUUAUUGGGCGUAAAGCGCGCGUAGGCGGUUUUUUAAGUCUGAUGUGAAAGCCCACGGCUCAACCGUGGAGGGUCAUUGGAAACUGGAAAACUUGAGUGCAGAAGAGGAAAGUGGAAUUCCAUGUGUAGCGGUGAAAUGCGCAGAGAUAUGGAGGAACACCAGUGGCGAAGGCGACUUUCUGGUCUGUAACUGACGCUGAUGUGCGAAAGCGUGGGGAUCAAACAGGAUUAGAUACCCUGGUAGUCCACGCCGUAAACGAUGAGUGCUAAGUGUUAGGGGGUUUCCGCCCCUUAGUGCUGCAGCUAACGCAUUAAGCACUCCGCCUGGGGAGUACGACCGCAAGGUUGAAACUCAAAGGAAUUGACGGGGACCCGCACAAGCGGUGGAGCAUGUGGUUUAAUUCGAAGCAACGCGAAGAACCUUACCAAAUCUUGACAUCCUUUGACAACUCUAGAGAUAGAGC
rnacentral:rRNA from 1 species